AUUGAACGCUGGCGGCAGGCCUAACACAUGCAAGUCGAACGAGUGGCGGACGGGUGAGUAAUGUCUGGGAAACUGCCCGAUGGAGGGGGAUAACUACUGGAAACGGUCGCUAAUACCGCAUACCAUCGGAUGUGCCCAGAUGGGAUUGGCUAGUGGGUGGGGUAAUGGCUCACCUAGGCGACGAUCCCUAGCUGGGCUGAGAGGAAGACCAGCCACACUGGAACUGAACCACGGUCCAGACUCCUACGGGAGGCAGAAGUGGGGAAUAGUGCACAAUGGGCGCAAGCCUAAUGCAGCCAUGCCGCGUGUGUGAAGAAGGCCUUCGGGUUGUAAAGUACUUUCAGCGAGGAGGCGUUACUCGCAGAAGAAGCACCGGCUAACUCCGUGCCAGCAGCCGCGGUAAUUC
rnacentral:rRNA from 1 species